GCGGGAGUGGCGGAAUUGGCAGACGCGCUAGGUUGAGGGCCUAGUCCCAGCAAUGGGGUGCAGGUUCAAGUCCUGUUUCCCGCA
rnacentral:tRNA from 1 species